rnacentral:sRNA from 1 species
GCCGGGUGUGCUGGCACACACCUGUAGUCCCACCGGCUGGGAGGCUGAGGCAGGAGUAUUGUGAGUUCUAAGCCAGCCUCAG